CACGUAGGGGGCGAGCGUUGUCCGGAAUCAUUGGGCGUAAAGAGCUCGUAGGCGGCUCAGUAAGUCGGGUGUGAAACCCCCAGGCUCAACCUGGGGACGCCACUCGAUACUGCUGUGGCUAGAGGCCAGUAGAGGAGUGUGGAAUUCCCGGUGUAGCGGUGAAAUGCGCAGAUAUCGGGAGGAGCACCAACGGCGAAGGCAGCACUCUGGGCUGGAACUGACGCUGAGGAGCGAAAGCCUGGGGAGCAAACAGG
rnacentral:rRNA from 1 species